GCUGGGGCUCAGUGGUAGAGCGCUCACUUAGCAUGUGUGAGGCACUGGGUUCGAUCCUCAGCACGGCA
rnacentral:tRNA from 1 species